CCUGAUCCUGGCUCCCUUCUGCUGAUACUGUCAUUCCCUUCCCUGCUGCCCCUGAGGCAUUUUUGCUCAGUACAAAGAGCUCCAAUUGAAGGGAGUGCCAGCCAGAGUGAAUUCAAAUCUUUAUGACCAACUCGCUGUGCCUUCUUGGGAUUCCUCUGGCACCACACUGGAAAAUAGAUGGCAGAAGCAGAGAAUGCAAGAGACUAGAUUGGAAGCUGACAUCAAUGGAGAUAUAAUAAGAGCCUGAACUGUGUCAGUGACUGUAACAAGACAGAAGAAAAGGACAUCUAAAUAAUAGCUACCAUUUGGAGAUCUGACAUGGUUUGGCUCUGUGUCCCCACCCAAAAAUCUCAUCUUGAAUUGUAAUCCACAUGUGUCAGGGGAGGGACCUCCUGGGAGGUGAUUGGAUCGUGGGGGGCGGUUUCCCCCAUGAUGUUUUUGUGAUAGGGAGCUCUCACGGGAUCUGGUUGUUUGAUAAGUGUCUGGCAUUUCCCCUGCAUUCUCUCUCUCACCUGCCGCCAUGUAAGAUGUGCCCUGCUUCCCCUUCACCUUCCACCAUGAUUAUAAGUUUCCUGAGGCCUCCCCAGCCAUAUGGAACUGUGAGUCAAUUAAACCUCUUUUGUUUAUAAAU
rnacentral:lncRNA from 1 species